rnacentral:ribozyme from 1 species
UAUUUAUCAUUAUUUGGAUUCUCUACUUUUCUUUUUCUUCUUUUUUUCCUUUUUCUUCUGUUUC